UACGUAGGUGACGAACGUUAUCCGGAUUUACUGGGCGUAAAGGGAGCGUAGGCGGACUUUUAAGUGAGAUGUGAAAUACCCGGGCUCAACCUGGGGGCUGCAUUUCAAACUGGAAGUCUAGAGUGCAGGAGAGGAGAGUGAAAUUCCUAGUGUAGCGGUGAAAUGCGUAGAGAUUAGGAAGAACACCAGUGGCGAAGGCGACUCUCUGGACUGUAACUGACGCUGAGGCUCAAAAGCGUGGAGAGCAAACAGG
rnacentral:rRNA from 1 species